AUUAAAGGGCCGCGGUAUUUUAACCGUGCAAAGGUAGCAUAAUCAUUAGGUUUUUAAUUAGAAUCUUGUAUGAAUGGUUCGACAAAAGAAAUACUGUCUUUAUGCUAAAAUUUGAAUUUAACUUUUAAGUGAAAAGGCUUAAAUAUAUUAAAGGGACGAUAAGACCCUAUAAAACUUUACAUUGUAAUUUUAUUUAAUUAAAUUUAUAAAAUAAAAAUUUGAUUUAAUUAUAUGUUGUGUUGGGGAGACAGAAGUAAAAAUAAAUUUUAACUGCUUUAUAUUAAAACAUAUAUUUAUGAAAUAUUAAAUGAUCCUUUAUAAAGAUUAAAAGAUUAAGUUACUUUAGGGAUAACAGCGUUAUUUUUUUUGAGAGUUCCUAUCGAAAAGAAAGUUUGCGACCUCGAUGUUGAAUUAAAAUAUCUUUAUAGUGCAGAAGCUAUAAAAGAAGGUCUGUUCGACCUUUAAAUUUUUACAUGAUUUGAGUUCA
rnacentral:rRNA from 1 species